GAUGAAGAACGCAGCAAAAUGCGAUAAGUAAUGUGAAUUGCAGAAUUCAGUGAAUCAUCGAAUCUUUGAACGCACAUUGCGCCCGCCAGUAUUCUGGCGGGCAUGCCUGUUCGAGCGUCAUUUCAACCCUCAAGCCCUCGGGUUUGGUGUUGGGGAUCGACGAGCCUUUCUGGCAAGCCGGCCCCGAAAUCUAGUGGCGGUCUCGCUGCAGCCUCCAUUGCGUAGUAGUAAAACCCUCGCAACUGGAACGCGGCGCGGCCAAGCCGUUAAACCCCCAACUUCUGAAUGUUGACCUCGGAUCAGGUAGGAAUACCCGCUGAACUUAAGCAUAUCAAUAAGCGGAGGA
rnacentral:misc_RNA from 1 species